AGCAAGUGCAUUUGUUGGAUGUUCAUUUGAAGACAAUAUUGUUAUGAAAAUUGACUUUGGCUAUACUGUUCAUUCUUUGGGUUAUUAUUCUAUUAAAUGUGUGGUUACUCUUGAUUUCAAUCCUUCUCAUUCUAGGGUAUAAUUUAAUGGUGGCUUCUUAAAAUAUUUUUUGGCAGGUCCUACCUGCACAACCUUCUAAAGCAUUAGAAACCCCCAAUGAAUAAUUGAAUAUUGAUAUUUGUUCUUCUGAUAUUUGCAAAAUGGGUAUAUUGAACACCUACCCAUUGCAGUCAUUAAUAAGAGGAAUAAAUGGAUUUCUUUCCCCAAUAAGAGGAAUUUUGUUGAAUAUACUCUUUCAAGAGUUGCUGCUUUUUGCUCUCUUGGUGAGUUUCGUUCAAAGCCUCUCCUUCAGCAGUUGUGCAACAGCCCCCUCAUUAUGCAGAGUUGCAGUAGUUCUGCUAUGGUAAGGUUCGGUGCUGGACUGUAAAGUUUAGCAGUUCCUUCACUGGCCGUGCGUGGGAGUGAAGGCUCAGUCUGAGCAAAAGGUUGCAAGAAGCACCUUAGGAAGAAAAGCGGAUUUAAAAUGAUUUUUUAGAUGCAGGUUGGUUGUUUGCUUGAAAAUUGUUUUCCGGCGGAACAAUCGACGGUGGCGAAUGAUUCCGAUUCCGUAUCUGAGAGAUUCCUCCACUCUGUAGUAUUAUGAUGCUAUGUCGUCACGCGUUUGAGAAAUUGUAGUUGUCCCUCCAACAAAUGACUUUAACGUUUGGAAACCGAACAGAACAGUACGGAACAGAACAGAACGGAACGGAACAGGACGGAAUAGGACAAUUGUGUUUUGUAUACUGUGUUUGGUAAAUAUGUUACAAACAGAACAGAACAACAAGAUUAAUUACCUAUAUAUCCCUAUCAUAUUUAAUGUUUAGUUGAACAUAAUUUUCUUUUUUAUUAUUGUUUGAUAUAUGUUAUAUAUUGUUAUAUACAAAUAAGCAUAAAAAAAUUAUUAUAUUAUCUUCCAUUUCUAAAAAAAACAUUAAAAGUUAGAUUGAAUUUGAGAAGGGAAAAAAGAUAACGCAGAUUUCAAAAAAAAUAAAAAUAAAGAAGAUAAGGUAGUUUUAAAAAAUAAGAAGAUAUUUUGAUUAUUUAAAAAAAGAAGAAGAAGAUAAACACGUUUCUUUCCCAAACAGCGCUGCAGCAACGCCUUCAAUGGCAUCUUCCCCUUUCAUGGUGGUUUCCUCUCACAGCCAAGCAACUUCGAUCUGCCACUGCCACCGGCAAGCCUUGCCUCCAUCAAGUCGAGCCCCCAUCGUGUGGAGCCGGUCCGCCACUGGAUCUCCGCCACGCCGCGACCAGAGACCAUCACGCUAAAUGUCCAGAUCCGCUGCCAUGGAUGCUCAUAUCGCUGUGAACGGAGCCACAUCGUGAACCAGACGUCCUUCUCCCUUGUCUCUUCGUCUUUAUUUCUCAUCCCUCAUUUGUCUUCUGCGACGUCGAGUGAUUGUGGGGAGGGUUCCAUGAACUUUGAUUGUAACCAUGUUUGAGCAGAUUCACAAGAUUUGAGUAUUAAGAAAAAAAAUGGAAGAGGAAUUGCUGGACGGAUUUGAGAGGAAAAAAAUUGUCAGAGAAGAGGGAAGGGUAGAGUUAAGGAAAUAUGAUAAUAGAUUAAGGGUAAUUUUGUCUUUGUAAAAUAUUUUAAUAAGUGUUCCGUUCCGUUUCCUUCGGUUCCACCUUUUUCACGGAACCAAAAUGUCCUGUUCUAGGAGCAUUAUGUUCUGUUCUGUUCCAUUUAAAAAACACAACAAACGUAGAACAGAACCCAUAUGUCCCGUUCCGUUCCGUUCAAACGUGUACACCAAACGCUAGGGAUUAAAGUUGUGUUUUCUCCCUUAGGACGUCUAACUUGUUUA